UACCUUUUGCUACCGAAGAACUCAGGGAAACUUGUGCUAAUACCGUAUGUGCCCUUCGGGGGAAAGAUUUAUCGGCUAAGGAUGAGCCCGGGUUGGAUUAGCUAGUUGGUGGGGUAAAGGCCCACGAAGGCGACGAUCCAUAGCUGGGCUGAAAGGAUGAUCAGCCACACUGGGACUGAGACACGGCCCAGACUCCUACGGGAGGCAGCAGUGGGGAAUAUUGGACAAUGGGCGCAGGCCUGAUCCGCCAUGCCGCGUGAGUGAUGAAGGCCCUAGGGUUGUAAAGUUCUUUCACCGGUGAAGAUAAUGACGGUAACCGGAGAAUUAGCCCCGGCUAACUUCGUGCCAGCAGCCGCGGUAAUACGAAGGGGGCUAGCGUUGUUCGGAUUUACUGGGCGUAAAGGGCACGUAGGCGGACUUUUAAGUCAGGGGUGAAAUCCCAGAGCUCAACUCUGGAACUGCCUUUGAUACUGGAAGUCUUGAGUAUGGUAUAGGUGAGUGGAAUUC
rnacentral:rRNA from 1 species